GCCUCCGUAGCUCAGCGGCUAGAGCAGCUGACUUGUAAUCAGCAGGUCGGGAGUUCAAAAAGGGUUUUUGUCGUCCAAUGGCCCUCUGAAAGUCUCCCCGGAGGCU
rnacentral:tRNA from 1 species